UACGUAGGGUGCGAGCGUUAAUCGGAAUUACUGGGCGUAAAGCGCGCGUAGGUGGUUUGUUAAGUUGAAUGUGAAAUCCCCGGGCUCAACCUGGGAACUGCAUGCAAAACUGGCAAGCUAGAGUAUGGUAGAGGGUGGUGGAAUUUCCUGUGUAGCGGUGAAAAUGCGUAGAUAUAGGAAGGAACACCAGUGGCGAAGGCGACCACCUGGACUGAUACUGACACUGAGGUGCGAAAGCGUGGGGAGCAAACAGG
rnacentral:rRNA from 1 species